rnacentral:lncRNA from 1 species
CAACUCACUGGAGUUGACCAUCAAAACUCUUUUCCAGGCACACUCAGGCAUCGCAGAAAAUAAUAUGUAUUGUGGAAUCCCUCACUUGAUGAAUAAUCUAGAUGAUCAGAAAUGUGGCACUAUUUUGGCUUUCAGGUGGAAAAGCACCCUGAAUCCAGCUUCCUGCUAUGAAUGAAUACUGAGCUUGGGUUGGUGGAAAUUGAUUUUCGAGAUAAGUGGUGUCACCUUUCUUCAAAGCAAUGCGGCUGA